rnacentral:rRNA from 1 species
AACGCCCCGCAAGGGGAGUGGCGCACGGGUGAGUAACGCGUGGAUAUCUGCCUUUUGGUUCGGAAUAACCCCGGGAAACUGGGGCUAAUACCGGAUGGUUCCUACGGGAUAAAGAUUUAUCGCCAAAAGAUGAGUCCGCGUACGAUUAGCUAGUUGGUGAGGUAAUGGCUCACCAAGGCGACGAUCGUUAGCUGGUCUGAGAGGACGAUCAGCCACACUGGGACUGAGACACGGCCCAGACUCCUACGGGAGGCAGCAGUGGGGAAUAUUGGACAAUGGGGGCAACCCUGAUCCAGCCAUGCCGCGUGAGUGAUGAAGGCCUUCGGGUUGUAAAGCUCUUUUGGCGGGGACGAUGAUGACGGUACCCGCAGAAUAAGCCCCGGCUAACUUCGUGCCAGCAGCCGCGGUAAGACGAAGGGGGCUAGCGUUGUUCGGAAUUACUGGGCGUAAAGCGAGUGUAGGCGGUUGUCCUAGUCAGGCGUGAAAGCCUUGAGCUCAACUCAAGAAAUGCGCUUGAUACUGGAUGACUAGAGGACCGGAGAGGAUAGUGGAAUUCCCAGUGUAGUGGUGAAAUACGUAGAGAUUGGGAAGAACACCAGUGGCGAAGGCGGCUAUCUGGACGGUUACUGACGCUAAGAC